AGUGGCGGACGAGUGAGUAACACGUGAGCAACCUGCCCGGAAAUGGGGGAUAGCCUUUCGAAAGGAAGAUUAAUACCGCAUGUGAUCUAACAGGACAUCCUGCUAAGAUUAAAGAUGGCUUCGGCUAUCGUUUCCGGAUGGGCUCGCGGCCUAUCAGUUAGUUGGUGAGGUAACGGCUCACCAAGGCAACGACGGGUAGCUGGUCUGAGAGGAUGAUCAGUCACGCUGGAACUGAGACACGGUCCAGACACCUACGGGUGGCAGCAGUCGAGAAUCAUUCACAAUGGGCGAAAGCCUGAUGGUGCGACGCCGCGUGGAGGAUGACGGUCCUAGGACUGUAAACUCCUGUCAUCAGAGAGUAAAGCACAGUCGUUAAUAGCGGCUUGUGCCUGAUAGUAUCUGAAGAGGAAGGGGCGGCUAACUCCGUGCCAGCAGCCGCGGUAACACGGAGGCCCCGAGCGUUGUUCGGAAUUACUGGGCGUAAAGGGUGCGUAGGCGGUUAGGUAAGUCAGUUGUGAAAGCCCGGGGCUCAACCUCGGAAUUGCAGCCGAUACUGCUUGACUAGAGGAUUGGAGAGGAGACUGGAAUUCUCGGUGUAGCAGUGAAAUGCGUGGAUAUCGAGAGGAAGACCAAUGGCGAAGGCAGGUCUCUGGACAACUCCUGA
rnacentral:rRNA from 1 species